GACGAACGCUGGCGGCGUGCUUAACACAUGCAAGUCGAACGGAAAGGCCCUGCUUUUGUGGGGUGCUCGAGUGGCGAACGGGUGAGUAACACGUGAGUAACCUGCCCUUGACUUUGGGAUAACUUCAGGAAACUGGGGCUAAUACCGGAUAGGAGCUCCUGCUGCAUGGUGGGGGUUGGAAAUUUUCGGCGGUUGGGGAUGGACUCGCGGCUUAUCAGCUUGUUGGUGGGGUAGUGGCUUACCAAGGAUUUGACGGGUAGCCGGCCUGAGAGGGUGACCGGCCACAUUGAGACUGAGCUACGGCCCAGACUCCUACGGGAGGCAGCAGUGGGGAAUAUUGCACAAUGGGCGGAAGCCUGAUGCAGCAACUCCGCGUGCGGGAUGACUGUCUUCGGGUUGUAAACCGCUUUCGCCUGUGACGAAGCUUGGCUGACGGUAAUGGGUAAAGAAGCACCGGCUAACUACGUG
rnacentral:rRNA from 1 species